GCUUAACACAUGCAAGUCGAGGGGCAGCAUGGUCUUAGCUUGCUAAGGCCGAUGGCGACCGGCGCACGGGUGAGUAACACGUAUCCAACCUGCCGUCUACUCUUGGACAGCCUUCUGCAAGGAAGAUUAAUACAAGAUGGCAUCAUGAGUCCGCAUGUUCACAUGAUUAAAGGUAUUCCGGUAGACGAUGGGGAUGCGUUCCAUUAGAUAGUAGGCGGGGUAACGGCCCACCUAGUCUUCGAUGGAUAGGGGUUCUGAGAGGAAGGUCCCCCACAUUGGAACUGAGACACGGUCCAAACUCCUACGGGAGGCAGCAGUGAGGAAUAUUGGUCAAUGGGCGAGAGCCUGAACCAGCCAAGUAGCGUGAAGGAUGACUGCCCUAUGGGUUGUAAACUUCUUUUAUAAAGGAAUAAAGUCGGGUAUGGAUACCCGUUUGCAUGUACUUUAUGAAUAAGGAUCGGCUAACUCCGUGCCAGCAGCCGCGGUAAUACGGAGGAUCCGAGCGUUAUCCGGAUUUAUUGGGUUUAAAGGGAGCGUAGAUGGAUGUUUAAGUCAGUUGUGAAAGUUUGCGGCUCAACCGUAAAAUUGCAGUUGAUACUGGAUACCUUGAGUGCAGUUGAGGCAGGCGGAAUUCGUGGUGUAGCGGUGAAAUGCUUAGAUAUCACGAAGAACUCCGAUUGCGAAGGCAGCCUGCUAAGCUGCAACUGACAUUGAGGCUCGAAAGUGUGGGUAUCAAACAGGAUUAGAUACCCUGGUAGUCCACACGGUAAACGAUGAAUACUCGCUGUUUGCGAUAUACUGCAAGCGGCCAAGCGAAAGCGUUAAGUAUUCCACCUGGGGAGUACGCCGGCAACGGUGAAACUCAAAGGAAUUGACGGGGGCCCGCACAAGCGGAGGAACAUGUGGUUUAAUUCGAUGAUACGCGAGGAACCUUACCCGGGCUUAAAUUGCAGAUGAAUUACGGUGAAAGCCGUAAGCCGCAAGGCAUCUGUGAAGGUGCUGCAUGGUUGUCGUCAGCUCGUGCCGUGAGGUGUCGGCUUAAGUGCCAUAACGAGCGCAACCCUUGUUGUCAGUUACUAACAGGUUCCGCUGAGGACUCUGACAAGACUGCCAUCGUAAGAUGUGAGGAAGGUGGGGAUGACGUCAAAUCAGCACGGCCCUUACGUCCGGGGCUACACACGUGUUACAAUGGGGGGUACAGGGGGCCGCUACCACGCGAGUGGAUGCCAAUCCCCAAAACCUCUCUCAGUUCGGACUGGAGUCUGCAACCCGACUCCACGAAGCUGGAUUCGCUAGUAAUCGCGCAUCAGCCACGGCGCGGUGAAUACGUUCCCGGGCCUUGUACACACCGCCCGUCAAGCCAUGGGAGCCGGGGGUACCUGAAGUGCGUAACCGCGAGGAGCGCCCUAGGGUAAAACUGGUGACUGGGGCUAAGUCAUAACA
rnacentral:rRNA from 1 species